rnacentral:rRNA from 1 species
GUGGGGAAUAUUGCACAAUGGGGGAAACCCUGAUGCAGCCAUGCCGCGUGUGUGAAGAAGGCCUUCGGGUUGUAAAGCACUUUCAGCGAGGAGGAAAGGGGUGAUGCUAAUACCAUCAUCCUGUGACGUUACUCGCAGAAGAAGCACCGGCUAACUCCGUGCCAGCAGCCGCGGUAAUACGGAGGGUGCAAGCGUUAAUCGGAAUUACUGGGCGUAAAGCGCACGCAGGCGGUUGGAUAAGUCAGAUGUGAAAGCCCCGGGCUCAACCUGGGAACUGCAUUUGAAACUGUUCGACUAGAGUCUUGUAGAGGGGGGUAGAAUUCCAGGUGUAGCGGUGAAAUGCGUAGAGAUCUGGAGGAAUACCGGUGGCGAAGGCGGCCCCCUGGACAAAGACUGACGCUCAGGUGCGAAAGCGUGGGGAGCAAACAGGAUUAGAAACCCUAGUAGUCC